UACGUAGGGUGCGAGCGUUAAUCGGAAUUACUGGGCGUAAAGCGUGCGCAGGCGGUUUUGUAAGCCAGAUGUGAAAGCCCCGGGCUCAACCUGGGAAUGGCAUUUGGGACUGCAAGGCUUGAGUGCGGCAGAGGAGACUAGAAUUCCCGGUGUAGCGGUGAAAUGCGCAGAUAUCGGGAAGAACACCCGUGGCGAAAGGCGGGUUCUCUGGGACGGUACUGACGCUGGAGACGCGAAAGCGUGGGGAGCGAACAGG
rnacentral:rRNA from 1 species